rnacentral:rRNA from 1 species
UUUUUUAAGUUAAUUUAAAGUAAGGCCUGUCCAGUGAAAUUUAAACGGCUGCAGUAUUUUAACUGUACUAAGGUAGCAUAAUCAUUUGUUUUUUAAUUGAAAACUGGUAUGAAUGGUUUUACAAAUAAUUAAUAAUAAUAUAUUAUUAUAGUAAUUUUUAUUCUUAGUAAAAAUGCUUAGAUAUAAUAAAGGGACGAUAAGACCCUAAAAGCUUUUUUAUUAGUUUUAUUUUAGUUAGUAAGGUAAAUAAAUUUAGUUGGGGUAAUGUAAAUAUAAAUUUUAUUUUAUUUAUUUACAAUAAUAAUUGGUUAUUUGAUCUUUUUUAUAAGGAAAGAUAGUAUUAGUUACUUUAGGGAUAACAGCGUAAUAAUUUUAGAGAGGCCUUAUUAAUAAAAUUGAUUACGACCUCGAUGUUGAAUUAAAAUGUCUAUAUAUUGCAGAAGAUAUAUUAGAGGGUUUGUUCAACCUUUUAUUUUUUACAUGAUUUGAGUUCAAAUCGGUUUAAG